GAUGAUUGCGACUCGUUCAUACAUUAUUAUAACUAGGUUAAGUUUUUAUUUUAAAUUUUUCCUAUGCGAUUUAAUUAUACACGGCUUAACUGUUCGUCGAACGGAGUUUUGCAGCGAGUAUAAUAUUAUUAAAGUGAAGUAUCUGCGCGGUCACCGACUGGGAGGCCUUAGGCUCUUGUCUCGGUGAAAAUCGUGGCACUGACGGUAACUGUGUAGACAUCGAGUGCACG